rnacentral:tRNA from 1 species
GGUAAAAGGGUGUGUUGGCACGAAAAAUUUUGAAUUUUUAGGAGACUUUUUGAAGGGUUUUUUACUU